CAGUCGCCGCGGUAAUACGAGGGGGGCAAGCGUUGUUCGGAAUUAUUGGGCGUAAAGGGUGCGUAGGCGGUCUGGCAAGUCAGAUGUGAAAUCCCCGGGCUUAACCUGGGAACUGCAUUUGAGACUGUAUGGCUAGAGUGUGUCAGAGGGGGGUAGAAUUCCACGUGUAGCAGUGAAAUGCGUAGAGAUCUGGAGGAAUACCGGUGGCGAAGGCGGCCCCCUGGACAAAGACUGACGCUCAGGUGCGAAAGCGUGGGGAGCGAACAGGAUUAGAGACCCCAGUAGUCCCUGUCUCUUAUAC
rnacentral:rRNA from 1 species